UGGUGAAAUUGGUAGACACGCAGGACUUAAAAUCCUGUGGCCAGCAAUGGCCGUAUCGGUUCAACUCCGAU
rnacentral:tRNA from 1 species